AUUGAACGCUGGCGGCAUGCCUUACACAUGCAAGUCGAACGGCAGCACGGGAGCAAUCCUGGUGGCGAGUGGCGAACGGGUGAGUAAAGUAUCGGAACGUGCCCAGUCGUGGGGGAUAACGUAGCGAAAGUUACGCUAAUACCGCAUACGAUCUAUGGAUGAAAGCGGGGGAUCGCAAGACCUCGCGCGAUUGGAGCGGCCGAUAUCAGAUUAGGUAGUUGGUGGGGUAAAGGCUCACCAAGCCGACGAUCUGUAGCCGGUCUGAGAGGACGACCAGCCACACUGGGACUGAGACACGGCCCAGACUCCUACGGGAGGCAGCAGUGGGGAAUUUUGGACAAUGGGCGCAAGCCUGAUCCAGCCAUUCCGCGUGCAGGACGAAGGCCUUCGGGUUGUAAACUGCUUUUGUACGGAACGAAAAGGCUCUGGUUAAUACCUGGGGCUCAUGACGGUACCGUAAGAAUAAGCACCGGCUAACUACGUGCCAGCCGCCGCCGUAA
rnacentral:rRNA from 1 species